rnacentral:misc_RNA from 1 species
AAGAGUUGCAAAACUCCCACAAACCAUCGCGAACGUUACCCAGACGUCGUUGCUUCGGCGGGCUCGCCCGCCGGGGGGACGCCACCAGACUCUUGCAGUUAUUUGGCCUCUCUGAGUAUGAUUUUUUAAAUAAGUCA